GGAGAGUGUGAAAGAGGGAGUGGGACGGAUGGAACUAAUCAGAAACAGAUGCGUGCACACGUGUGAUUCAGCAGUUCAGGACGGAGCAGAAGCAGCGCUACAGUAACUGGAGUCGUUCUACCUCCAUCCAACACAGACCGAGGCUCGUUUUCUUCAUCAUGAGAGAGAAGUGGUGCCGUGCGGCCAAACACAGGACUCGAUGUCUGAGUCAGCUGAUGAAUGAAUCACAGACGGCAGCAGAACAAACGAGAGGACAGUUCCUCACACGCUGCCGUAACUGUAGGAGCAGAAAAAAAAACAGAUUUCCUUCGAUGCCGUGUGACGAGGACGGAUGAGCUGAGGAAACUGGGUAUUUUCCUGCGAAUGUUCUAACCUAAAUGUUAAACAAUCUGAUUCUGAUUAAUCUGAUUUCUAAUGCACCACGUGCACAGAUGGCUGUGUGGUGUCUGGAGCCUAUAUAAAGGGGUUUAACACUU